rnacentral:pre_miRNA from 1 species
ACUAGCUUUGACUCUUCGUCUUAUUUAAAAAUUUUUUGUGAUUAAUAUUUAUAUUGUUACUAUAUAAAAAACAUAAAUAGUAUUUUAUGUGUGACUAAUUUUUUUAAUUUUUUGUACGAUUUUUUUCAAAUAAGACGAAUGGUCAAACUUUAGACACAGAAA